GUUCCAUACAGUUAUUCCAAAAGCGGUUACAGUGUGGUGCUGAUAACGCCAAGGUUGCAGGUUCGAUCCCUGCAUGGGUCG